rnacentral:rRNA from 1 species
UAACCGGAUUAGAUACCCUGGUAGUCCACGCCGUAAACGAUGUCGACUUGGAGGUUGUGCCCUUGAGGCGUGGCUUCCGGAGCUAACGCGUUAAGUCGACCGCCUGGGGAGUACGGCCGCAAGGUUAAAACUCAAAUGAAUUGACGGGGGCCCGCACAAGCGGUGGAGCAUGUGGUUUAAUUCGAUGCAACGCGAAGAACCUUACCUGGUCUUGACAUCCACAGAACUUUCCAGAGAUGGAUUGGUGCCUUCGGGAACUGUGAGACAGGUGCUGCAUGGCUGUCGUCAGCUCGUGUUGUGAAAUGUUGGGUUAAGUCCCGCAACGAGCGCAACCCUUAUCCUUUGUUGCCAGCGGUCCGGCCGGGAACUCAAAGGAGACUGCCAGUGAUAAACUGGAGGAAGGUGGGGAUGACGUAA